rnacentral:rRNA from 1 species
AGAGUUUGAUCCUGGCUCAGAUUGAACGCUGGCGGCAUGCUUUACACAUGCAAGUCGAGCGGCAGCGCGGGGCAACCUGGCGGCGAGCGGCGAACGGGUGAGUAAUAGAUAGGAACGUGUCCGGGAGUGGGGGAUAACUAGCCGAAAGGUUAGCUAAUACCGCAUAUUCUCCAUGGAGGAAAGCGGGGGACCUGCAAGGGCCUCGCGCUCACGGAGUGGCCUAUCUCCGAUUAGCUAGUUGGUGAGGUAAAGGCUUACCAAGGCGACGAUCGGUAGCUGGUCUGAGAGGAUGAUCAGCCACACUGGGACUGAGACACGGCCCAGACUCCUACGGGAGGCAGCAGUGGGGAAUUUUGGACAAUGGGGGCAACCCUGAUCCAGCCAUGCCGCGUGCGGGAAGAAGGCCUUCGGGUUGUAAACCGCUUUUAUUCGGAAAGAAGGAGUGGAGGUUAAUACCCUCCAUGACGGACGUACCGGAUUAAUAGCCCCGC